UAGAUAGUAGGCGGGGUAACGGCCCACCUAGUCUUCGAUGGAUAGGGGUUCUGAGAGGAAGGUCCCCCACAUUGGAACUGAGACACGGUCCAAACUCCUACGGGAGGCAGCAGUGAGGAAUAUUGGUCAAUGGACGAGAGUCUGAACCAGCUAAGUAGCGUGAAGGAUGAAGGUUCUAUGGAUUGUAAACUUCUUUUAUACGGGAAUAAACGGAUCCACGUGUGGAUUUUUGCAUGUACCGUAUGAAUAAGGAUCGGCUAACUCCGUGCCAGCAGCCGCGGUAAUACGGAGGAUCCGAGCGUUAUCCGGAUUUAUUGGGUUUAAAGGGAGCGUAGAUGGGUUGUUAAGUCAGUUGUGAAAGUUUGCGGCUCAACCGUAAAAUUGCAAUUGAUACUGGCAGUCUUGAGUACAGUUGAGGUAGGCGGAAUUCGUGGUGUAGCGGUGAAAUGCUUAGAUAUCACGAAGAACUCCGAUUGCGAAGGCAGCUUACUAACCUGUAACUGACAUUGAUGCUCGAAAGUGUGGGUAUCAAACAGGAUUAGAUACCCUGGUAGUCCACACGGUAAACGAUGAAUACUCGCUGUAGGCGAUAUACAGUCUGCGGCCAA
rnacentral:rRNA from 1 species